UCGUAUGUGAACCUGCGAAAGGAUCAUUAU
rnacentral:rRNA from 1 species